rnacentral:rRNA from 1 species
AACGAACGCUGGCGGCAUGCCUAACACAUGCAAGUCGAACGAGAUCUUCGGGUCUAGUGGCGCACGGGUGCGUAACGCGUGGGAAUCUGCCCUUUGGUUCGGAGUAACAGUUGGAAACGACUGCUAAUACCGGAUGAUGACGAAAGUCCAAAGAUUUAUCGCCAGAGGAUGAGCCCGCGUAGGAUAGCUAGUUGGUGUGGUAAAGGCGCACCAAGGCGACGAUCCUUAGCUGGUCUGAGAGGAUGAUCAGCCACACUGGGACUGAGACACGGCCCAGACUCCUACGGGAGGCAGCAGUGGGGAAUAUUGGACAAGGGGCGAAAUCCUGAUCCAGCAAUGCCGCGUGAGUGAUGAAGGCCUUAGGGUUGUAAAGCUCUUUUACCCGGGAUGAUAAUGACAGUACCGGGAGAAUAAGCUCCGGCUAACUCCGUGCCAGCAGCCGCCGUAA